UCAGUGUUCUUUUUUCGUUUC
rnacentral:piRNA from 1 species